rnacentral:rRNA from 1 species
CCUACGGGGGGCAGCAGUGGGGAAUAUUGCACAAUGGGGGAAACCCUGAUGCAGCGACGCCGCGUGAGUGAAGAAGUAAUUCGUUACGUAAAGCUCUAUCAGCAGGGAAGAAACACUGACCUUACGGUCAGCAGACGGUACCUGAGUAAGAAGCCCCGGCUAACUACGUGCCAGCAGCCGCGGUAAUACGUAGGGGGCAAGCGUUAUCCGGAUUUACUGGGUGUAAAGGGAGCGUAGACGGUGCGCCAAGUCUGGAGUGAAAUGCCGCAGCUUAACUGCGGAACUGCUUUGGAAACUGGCGAACUAGAGUGCGGGAGGGGUAAGCGGAAUUCCUAGGGUAGCGGUGAAAUGCGUAGAUAUUAGGAGGAACACCGGUGGCGAAGGCGGCUUACUGGACCGUAACUGACGUUGAGGCUCGAAAGCGUGGGUAGCAAACAGGAUUAGAUACCCGAGUAGUC